CGCAAAGGACGCUGGGAGCAAAGAGCGUUAGUACAAGUGAUGAUGUUUCACUUUGAGACGAAACCUCUCGAUUUACAUUUCCGUUCAUCAUUACUUAUAAUAACUGUUUUGGUGUUACAUUUAUUACAGUGAAAAAAACUAAAACAAAUUUAACUGUAAAAUUGAUAAAACAUAUCAUUAUUUUUCGUUUUAACGUGAUUGCAGGGUGAAACCUCUUUCGCACAUUAACAUAUCGCUCAGCUCGCAAAUUCAUAAUAGCCCCGAGAAAAACUAAACAUAUAGAAAUCAGCCCAAAUAAAGUGCAUUUUCAGACUUUUGCUCAAUCAAAACGGGAGAAUGCAAAGUGUAGGGCAGCGGGACCUGGACAAGAUCUACUCAGUGAUCUUGUUGGGGAUCGUGAUCUUGUCCUGGGCCUAUGUCAUCUAUGCCAGUCGAAUUGCAGCUCAGUGGCUCCUGGAGGAAAGAGCUGCAAAGACCUGAAGCCAAAACUAACUACAGGGACAAGGACUAAUAGUUAAGAAUAUUUUCAAAUGGACCAAAUGGAGAAGGUGACUCUCAACAAAUUGACUCAAAGGCUCAAGACUGAAAGAAAUGUAAUAUAUUUAUUUAUUUAUUUUAAUUGCAAUCUUUUGUUGUUCUGUAUUUCAUAACAUGCUCAAGUUAAUUUGGUUAUUUUAAUAUGUAUUUAAAUGUAUAUUUGUGUAAAUAAAAUGCAAAAGAAGA